rnacentral:tRNA from 1 species
GCACGCAUAAGUUAACGAAACUUCUAGUCUGUGGCACUAAAAACAGCGGUUAGACUCCGCUUGCGCGCC